rnacentral:pre_miRNA from 1 species
GACACCAAAGAUAGGGAUAUUAAACGAAUGGAAUUAGUAUAUGGAUGUAAUAUAAUGAAAUAGAGCCACUUUUGGGUUCCCUAUGAAAUGAGGCAUAGAAAGGAGCCACUGUGAAGAAGUUUUACGAGUUACGAAGGAAACUUCGAGUUCA